rnacentral:rRNA from 1 species
ACACGACUCUCGGCAACGGAUAUCUCGGCUCUCGCAUCGAUGAAGAACGUAGCGAAAUGCGAUACCUGGUGUGAAUUGCAGAAUCCCGCGAACCAUCGAGUCCUUGAACGCAAGUUGCGCCCGAGGCCAUUCGGCCGAGGGCACGCCUGCCUGGGCGUCACGC